GAAAUGCGAUAAGUAAUGGGAAUUGCAGAAUUCCGUGAAUCAUCGAAUCUUUGAACGCACAUUGCGCCCUCUGGCAUUCCGGGGGGCAUGCCUGUUCGAGCGUCAUUACACCAAUCAAGCCUGGCUUGGUAUUGGGCGACGGGGUCGGUCGAACCACCCCCCGCCCCAAAGACCUUUCCGGCGGGACGGACCGAAUCUCAGCGUUGUGCAAACGUGUCGCUGGCGAGACGGGACGGCCGUGCCGCUAAACCCCAUUUUCUUCAAGGUUGACCUCGGAUCAGGUAGGGAUACCCGCUGAACUUAAGC
rnacentral:misc_RNA from 1 species